AUGAUGAAUGGUCAUGAGUUUUCUUGUUUUUCUGUCCAAAUUGUCCAGUUCCACCUGUGUUCAGUUUAUGAUGCCAGCAGUAUAUCUUAUGACAGGUAUGGCCCAGGUGUUUAUGGCCUUGAUGGUGUUGCCUCCAUUGAGCUUGCUUUGAAGAAUUUUUCUGACCCUUUGUGUGUAUUCUUUGCUGAUCACAGUCUUCACAUGUUCAUGCUUGAUGUUGUCCAGUUUAUGAUGCCAGCAGUAUAUCUUAUGACAGGUAUGGCCCAGGUGUUUAUGGCCUUGAUGGUGUUGCCUCCAUUGAGCUUGCUUUUGAGAAUUUUUCUGACCCUUUGUGUGUAUUCUUUGCUGACCACAGUCUUCACAUGUUCAUGCUUGAUGUUGUCCAGCUGAUAUUUAUAGGCCUCUGGUAACACUUUAUUGUUUGGCCAUUAGGCAUAUCUAUGCCCUCACUUUCAAUGAUUUUUCCUUUCUUCAAUGCCACUGUCGAACAUUUGUCCAAGCAAACUCCAUGCUGAUAUCAGUGCUAAAAAUUCGGACAGUGUUAGUCAGAGACUGGAUUUCAGUUUCCGUUUUCCCAUAUAGCUUCAGGUCAUCCAUGUACAUCAGAUGCAAAAUUUUGUGAGAUUUCUUAGAUGUUUGAUAGCUGAUAUUUAUUUUUUGUAAGAUUGUUGACAGAGGGAUCAUGGCAAUAAUGAAAAGCAGAGGGGACAAUGAGUCUCCCUGGAAAAUUCCUCUUCUGAUGUUGACAAGUCCAUAGCUUUCAUUUCCAACAAACAGUUCAGUUUUCCAGUGCUCCAUCAUGUUUUCAAUAAAGGUGCCAGCAUUUUUACUAAUCCCGAUGGCGUCCAGGCACUUGAUGAUCCAGCUGUGUAGGAGUGAGUCAAAGGCCUUUUUGUAGUCAAUCCACAUCAUGUGAAGAUUAGCUUUUCGGCUUUUACAGUUCUCCAGAAUCAUUUUGUCAAUUAUUAACUGGUCUUUUGUGCCCCUGCUUUUCCAUUUGUUGCCUUUCUGUUCAUCUGGCAAGAUGUUUUUUUCUUCAAGUUAUUAUUGUUAUUGUUAUUAUUAUUAUUAGAAACACAACACAGAGUGUCCACAGCAGACACUCUGGGGCUGUUGUACUGGAUCACACCAAGUGUCUAGGGAUGUGUGAGGUAUCGGCAAAUAAUGCGUGCAGAUCCCAGUAAGGUGGCCUUCUGCAGCUGGCAGAUGGUAAUUUUGUCAGCGCCGAUUGUGUUCAAGUGCAGGCCAAGGUCUUUAGGCACUGCACCCAGUUUGCCGAUCACCACUGGGACCACCUUGACUGGCUUGUGCCACAGUCUUUGCAAUUCGAUCUUUAAAUCCUCAUAUCAUGCCAGCUUUUCUAGUUGUUUCUCCUCAAUCCUGCUGUCACCUGGGAUUGCAACAUUGACAAUCCAUA
rnacentral:lncRNA from 1 species